rnacentral:RNase_P_RNA from 1 species
GUGCAACAGAGAGCAAACCGCCGAUGGCCCGCGCAAGCGGGAUCAGGUAAGGGUGAAAGGGUGCGGUAAGAGCGCACCGCGCGGCUGGCAACAGUUCGCGGCACGGUAAACUCCACCCGGAGCAAGGCCAAAUAGGGGUUCACAAGGUACGGCCCGUACUGAACCCGGGUAGGCUGCUUGAGCCAGUGAGCGAUUGCUGGCCUAGAUGAAUGACUGUCCACGACAGAACCCGGCUUACCGGUCAGCUUCAACC